rnacentral:rRNA from 1 species
AUGGGCAAGAUGACUAAGACUCCGUUCUCCGGAACAAUGGAGCGAGCCACUGACUUAUUGGAAAUAAUACAUACCGAUGUAUGCGGUCCAAUGAAUGUUGAGGCUCACGGCGGGUAUCAUUGUUUUCUGACCUUCACAGAUGAUUUGAGCAGAUAUGUGUAUAUCUACUUGAUGAAACACAAGUCUGAAACACUUGAAAAGUUCAAAGAUUUUCAGAGUGAAGUAGAGAAUCAUCGUAACAAGAAAAUAAAGUUUUUACGAUCUGAUCGCAGAGGCAAAUAUUUGAGUUAUGAGUUUGGCCUUCAAUUAAAACAAUGUGGAAUAGUUUCACAAACUUAUGCCACCUGGUACACCACAGAAUAA